rnacentral:rRNA from 1 species
GCUAGCGGGAUGCUUUACACAUGCAAGUCGAACGGCAGCUCGAGAGAGCUUGCUCUCUUGGCGGCGAGUGGCGGACGGGUGAGUAAUAUAUCGGAACGUGCCCAGUAGCGGGGGAUAACUACUCGAAAGAGUGGCUAAUACCGCAUACGCCCUACGGGGGAAAGGGGGGGAUCGCAAGACCUCUCACUAUUGGAGCGGCCGAUAUCGGAUUAGCUAGUUGGUGGGGUAAAGGCUCACCAAGGCAACGAUCCGUAGCUGGUUUGAGAGGACGACCAGCCACACUGGGACUGAGACACGUCCCAGACUCCUACGGGAGGCAGCAGUGGGGAAUUUUGGACAAUGGGGGAAACCCUGAUCCAGCCAUCCCGCGUGUAUGAUGAAGGCCUUCGGGUUGUAAAGUACUUUUGGCAGAGAAGAAAAGGUAUCCCCUAAUACGGGAUACUGCUGACGGUAUCUGCAGAAUAAGCACCGGCUAACUACGUGCCAGCAGCCGCGGUAAUACGUAGGGUGCAAGCGUUAAUCGGAAUUACUGGGCGUAAAGCGUGUGUAGGCGGUUCGGAAAGAAAGAUGUGAAAUCCCAGGGCUCAACCUUGGAACUGCAUUUUUAACUGCCGAGCUAGAGUAUGUCAGAGGGGGGUAGAAUUCCACGUGUAGCAGUGAAAUGCGUAGAUAUGUGGAGGAAUACCGAUGGCGAAGGCAGCCCCCUGGGAUAAUACUGACGCUCAGACACGAAAGCGUGGGGAGCAAACAGGAUUAGAUACCCUGGUAGUCCACGCCCUAAACGAUGUCAACUAGCUGUUGGGGCCGUUAGGCCUUAGUAGCGCAGCUAACGCGUGAAGUG